UAUAAUAAUAUUACAAUAUAAAACUGCAAAAUAUUACUUACAAAAUGCUAAACAGUUGAUAAAUGUUACAAUGGAUUCAUGUUCCUUACAAGGCCCCAGUCCUUUGGCUGGAGUUAAGUCAGAGCUGGUACUACAUCUUAGGUUCAGUCAGGUAAAGGCAUAGAGGCAGAUUUCCUCCUACUGGUUUUUAUUUAGUGUAUUCUUAAGUAUUCUGGCCUGUGAUGUCACUGCCAGAAGCACAUGUCUUCCUACACACUUCCCCUAGUGGUGUCUCCAAAGCAUUAAACUCACUAUGCUUUCUUUAUGAUGUAAAGUCAUUAAUUA